rnacentral:rRNA from 1 species
AGUGAACGCUGGCGGUAGGCCUAACACAUGCAAGUCGAACGGCAGCACAGUAAGAGCUUGCUCUUACGGGUGGCGAGUGGCGGACGGGUGAGGAAUACAUCGGAAUCUACUUUUUCGUGGGGGAUAACGUAGGGAAACUUACGCUAAUACCGCAUACGACCUACGGGUGAAAGCAGGGGAUCUUCGGACCUUGCGCGAUUGAAUGAGCCGAUGUCGGAUUAGCUAGUUGGCGGGGUAAAGGCCCACCAAGGCGACGAUCCGUAGCUGGUCUGAGAGGAUGAUCAGCCACACUGGAACUGAGACACGGUCCAGAUUCCUACGGGAGGCAGCAGUGGGGAAUAUUGGACAAUGGGCGCAAGCCUGAUCCGGCCAUACCGCGUGGGUGAAGAAGGCCUUCGGGUUGUAAAGCCCUUUUGUUGGGAAAGAAAAGCAGCAGGUUAAUACCCCGCUGUUCUGACGGUACCCAAAGAAUAAGCACCGGCUAACUUCGUG